AGCACACUGCGCAUGUCCUUGGUAUCCUAACAGCGAGGACCAGAAGCACAUUGCCCGUGUACUUGGUAUCCUAACACAGCGUGGGUACUCGGUAUCCUAACAGGAGGACCAGAAGCACACUGCGUGGUACUUGGCAUCCUAACAGCGAGGACCAGAAGCACACUGCGCAUGUACCCGGUAUCCUAACAGAAGGACCAGAAGCACACUGCCCGUGUGCUUGGUAUCCUAACAGAAGGACCAGAAGCACACUGCGCAUGUGCUUGGUAUCCUAACAGAGCGUGGGUACUCGGUAUCCUAACACAGCCCGGGUACUGGGUAUCCCAACAGCAGGAACAGAGAACCCAGAGGAUGAGCGGGGCUCCUAGAGAUGAACAAGCGUCCAAAAAUGAGCCUCAAAUGAGGAGGCUUCGGUCCCGUGAAGGAGACUUGGCAGUUGUGCAAAAUGAGGAGCCUCCCUCCGUCCUCCGUCCUGCGGAGUCUGGUCCCCCGAGAUGCUCCCGCACCGUGCACUGGGGUGCAAGGAAUCUGGGUGAAGACGGAGCCCUGAGCUUGCACACAAAGGCCCGCCUAGUCUCUUAACCCAGGAGUAUCCACCCACCGUGAGCUUCCAGUCAGACAUCACACACCAAGCAACCGUUUCUCCCACUUUCCAUCUCCCUCCCCUUUGUUUCUGCUUUCAGUGUAUUUCUUUUUAUCUCCUUGCUUUCUAUCACUUUUGUACCAUGGAACCGCCCAGGGGAAACGUGGUUUUAAUUAAUACCCAGGCAUGGAAGGAAUGCUAGCUAGGCCUCUCUGAGUAGGGUCAAACUUUUUGAAAGAAAGGUUUUUCGGUUGAAGUUUUAAUGAGACCAAGGGUAAGUUGGCAGAUGUGAAAUCAGAAGUUGUUCUAGACGGACAAGAAAAAGGAUUGAAAUGAAAGAGAAUGAAAUAGGAAGCAGAAACUGUUCCAUCCCCUAAUUACCGUAAGCACCGAAGACCAGAGGAAGCUUUUCUCUAGCAGAUGGAGAAAACUGGGUGCCUUGCUUUACCACCCAGCCUUUCAAAUAGAAACAAAGGAAGGAAAAGAGAGAAGUGUAAAACAAAACAAAACAAAAAACUCUAUCAGAUUCUUGAAAUUAUUUUGUAGGCGGCCUCCUGCAGGGUAAAAGACUUGGAGGUGCGUCCUUCAGGGGAAAAAUACUAGCAAAAUAUUUGAGGGGAUUAAUUUCUGCAAGAAUUGGGGAAAACUCUAAGUAAGAUAAGAAUCCCACUCUCUUUUGUUUCAGUUUUGCUAAGCAUUCAGGCUGAGGCAAACAUGAUCGUUAAACCUUUAUUAAUGUGAAACAAAGAGAUAAAAUCUUAAAUGGUGUGAAGCCCAUAAACUAAAAGAAGCAAGAAAACUAGACCGAGGCCCAGAAGAUAGAGAGAUGAGGAAGCUUUCCUAAGGGGAACCUUUGAACUUUUGGCUGAAAUAUGAAUGUUUGUGCUUUAGAUAAAUGGGAAAUGCAAACUAAAGCUGGAAACCAAAAAGAUCUGGUUAGUUCAAAUAAAAAAGCUUACCUUGCCUGAAA